rnacentral:rRNA from 1 species
GCGUGGGUGAUGAAGCACUGAGGUGCGUAAAGCCCUGUUAGGAGGGAAGAACAGUUCCGCUUGCGGAAUUUGACGGUACCUCCAGAGAAAGCUCCGGCUAACUCCGUGCCAGCAGCCGCGGUAAUACGGGGGGAGCAAGCGUUGUCCGGAUUUACUGGGCGUAAAGAGAGUGUAGGCGGGAUGGUCAGUCAGUGGUGAAAACUUACGGCUUAACCGUAAGCUUGCUUCUGAUACUGCCAUUCUUGAGUGCGGAAGGGGGAAGCGGAAUUCCUGGUGUAGCGGUGAAAUGCGU